UGACUAACCUACCUUCGGGAGGGGGACAAUCUGGGGAAACCCGGGCUAAUACCGCAUGAUGCGCUAUGGCCUUAUGGCUGCAGCAUGAAAGAGGGCCUCUACUUGUAAGCUCUCGCCUGAAGAGGGGGUCGCGACGUAUCAGCUAGUUGGUAGGGUAACGGCCUACCAAGGCUACGACGCGUAGUGGGUCUGAGAGGACGACCCGCCACAUUGGGACUGAGAUACGGCCCAGAUCCUAACGGG
rnacentral:rRNA from 1 species